rnacentral:lncRNA from 1 species
AACUUUUAGGCCUAAUUAACUAAUUAAAGUCCUAAAUUUUUAUUUAGGACAUUAAAAAGACCGAGUAGAUUCUAUUAGCCAAACAUUUUGUUAAUUUUAAUAUUCUUUAAAUAUUUUAAACUUAAAUCUAUUUUUUAUUUAUUUUUAAAUGUUAUAAUUGCCCACAGUGAAUCACAAUUUUAAUAUCUAAUCUAAUCUAAUCUAAUCUAAUAUUUACUUUUGAUUUGCUCCGAUUUAACUAUUGUGUUGUAAAGGGAAUAGUCCACAUUUAUAAAGUGCCCACGCCACCAUUGAAAAAGUUAAUUUUGAAUCUAAAUUCGAUUUUAUUUGUAACAAUUUUGUAUUAAACUAUUAAUUUGUUCAUGAUAGUUUGUAAAAGAAGUUUGUAU